rnacentral:rRNA from 1 species
CCUACGGGAGGCAGCAGUGGGGAAUAUUGCACAAUGGGGGAAACCCUGAUGCAGCGACGCCGCGUGAGUGAAGAAGUAAUUCGUUACGUAAAGCUCUAUCAGCAGGGAAGAAACACUGACCUUACGGUCAGCAGACGGUACCUGAGUAAGAAGCCCCGGCUAACUACGUGCCAGCAGCCGCGGUAAUACGUAGGGGGCAAGCGUUAUCCGGAUUUACUGGGUGUAAAGGGAGCGUAGACGGUUAUGCAAGUCUGAAGUGAAAGCCCAAGGCUCAACCAUGGGACUGCUUUGGAAACUGUAAGACUGGAGUGCAGGAGAGGUAAGCGGAAUUCCUAGUGUAGCGGUGAAAUGCGUAGAUAUUAGGAGGAACACCAGUGGCGAAGGCGGCUUACUGGACUGUAACUGACGUUGAGGCUCGAAGGCGUGGGGAGCAAACAGGAUUAGAUACCCUGGUAGUC